rnacentral:tRNA from 1 species
GGCGGGAUAGCUCAGCCGGUAGAGCAGUGGCCUGAAAAGCCAUGUGUCCCCAGUUCAAAUCUGGGUCCUGCCACCA